rnacentral:rRNA from 1 species
AUGGAAGCAGCAGGGGAUGAGGAGAGGCCCUUGCUCCAACACCCACCUCCUCACCUCCAUCAGGAUGGGGAUUCGAGAUACACCAAUGACGGAACAAUGGAUGUUAACGGACAACCUGCUGUUAAGGCAAGCACAGGGAACUGGAGAGCAUGCUUCUUCAUCUUAGGUGUCCAAUUCAGCGAAUGCUUGGCCUUCUUCGCGAUCUCCAAAAACUUGGUCACCUACCUUACCAGCGUGCUCCAUGAAAGCAAUAUCGACGCGGCGAGGAAUGUGUCCACUUGGUUUGGCACCACAUUCUUCACGCCGCUUAUUGGAGCCUUCUUGGCAGACACGUAUUGGGGGAGGUACAAGACAUUAGUGGUUUUCCUCUCAGUCUACAUCGUCGGGAUGCUUGUCCUGACGGUUUCGACGACGCUCCCAUGGAUGAUUCAAUCCUCCAACCACAGUGAGAUUCACCGUAUCACCGUCUAUGUUGGACUCUAUCUUACAGCCCUUGGCAACGGUGGCAUCAAGCCAUGCACCUCCACUUUUGGCGCUGACCAGUUUGACAUCACCGACCCGACGGAGCGGGUGAAGAAGGGCUCAUUCUUCAAUUGGUUCUACUUCUUGAACACUAUUGGCUCCCUUUUGUCGACCACUGUGAUUGUCUGGGUGCAAGACAAUGUUGGGUGGGGGAUCGGCUUUGCGAUCCCGAUGAUCCUCACGAGUCUCAGUUUCACGGUGUUUAUCGCUAGUAGGAGGAUCUACAGAUACAAGUCAACAGGAGAGAGUCCCAUGACAACAGCUUCCCGGGUUGUUGUUGCAGCUGCAAGAAAUCGCCGUCUGGAGUUGCCCGAGGAUUGCACAACCUUGCAUCACUCGCCUUCACCACCCUCAGAGGCUACGUUCAAUGUUCAGCAUACCACUCAGUUCAGAUUUUUGGACAAGGCUGCCAUUGUGUCACCGUCGACACAGGAGAAGAAAGGCACGGCGACGAGCCCAUGGAGGCUAUGCGCACUCUCUCAUGUAGAAGAGGUGAAGAUGCUGCUACGUCUGUGCCCUGCAUGGGCGUCCUUGGUGGUCUUCUUCAUGAUCACGGCACAGAUGUCGUCGACGGUGAUUGAGCAGGGUAUGGCAAUGGACAACCGCGUGUGGUCAUUCACCGUGCCACCGGCCUCCCUCGCCAGCUUCAAUGUGGUCACCACACUUGUAUUGAUCCCCAUAUAUGACGUUGUGCUAGUUCCCCUAGCUCGGCGUGCCACCGGUGAGGACCGAGGCCUCACGCAACCGCAGCGCCUCGGCGUCGGUCUCGCGUUGUCCACUCUGGCCAUGGCUUACCUGGCUCUUCUCGAGAGGAACCGUCUCGCGGUCGGGGAAGCGGUGAGCAUUAUGUGGCAGGCACCGGCAUACGCCAUGAUGGGUGUCAGUGAGGUGUUUACGGUCAUCGGCACGCUCGAGCUCUUCUACGACCGGGCUCCGGACAACAUGAGGAGCAUGUGCACCGCAUUCGCGCAGCUCGCCAUCGCGGCAGGGAGCUACCUCAACUCGGCAGCGCUGGGCGUUGUCGCGUCCGCCACGAUGUGGAUCCCGGAGGACCUCGACGACGGACACUUGGACUACUUCUUCUGGACGAUAGCGGCGCUCAGUGCCCUGAAUCUGCUGCAGUUUGUAUUCUACUCUAUGAGGUACAACGACAACGUAGCUUGUCGACAAUGCCAUCCAUAUUAG